rnacentral:lncRNA from 10 species
UAGACAAACGUGUGUGAAGUGCUUUAAGGAGCUUCUCCUGGCUUCCAGUGCAUCUUGGCCAAGGAGGCUGCCUCAUUUCUGUCCUUUCCUUGCUUUCGGUGCUUCCUAGAACUUCUCGGUUGAAUUCCAGUGUUUUCUCCUAGAGGAUCUAUUCUAACUGUAAGUAUCUAUAUGAUAUUUGGUUCCUUUCCAUGGAUGAGGUGCAUACUAGUAGGAUCUAGUCAGUCAUCUUGAAUCAACUCGCCUCAUGAUUUUUCUGAAGCUGCUUCUUUUCUUAGAACCUCUUCUUUGGGAUAGAGAUUAUAGCCAUCCCACACAUUUCCUUAGUUAUUAUUUUUUGAAGAUUCAUAGCAUAUCGUUUAGCCUUUACUGUUUGUUUUUUUUUGCCAUUUAAAGUACUCUUAAAUUGCUUUUGUUAGGCUUUGACAAAGAGAAACUGUGAUGUGGUUUUACUCUGCCUUCCAACCAGCUCUCGGAAGACCUAUAAUUUUUGUACUUAGAAAAAUUAAUAAAGAUAUUUCUACUUUAGAAGGUAGAAUAUAAAGUUUUCAAAAAAUAAAAUGAGACAUAUUUGAAAAAUUGUUCACAAUAUAAUAAGUGCAAUGAAAAUAGCUUGUCAAAUUUACAAAGAAAAAUGAAACCGAUAUAUUGAGGAUUCAGUUUAAAAAAUGCCACAUACAAACAUGUUUCCUCAGAAUUUAUAAAACUUCGUGGAAAACAAUGUGGUAAUGUAUUUUACAAUUCUUAAAAAUACUUAUUUUCUUUCACACAACAUUCCAGUUUGUCCUAAGGAAAUAACCAGAAAUAUGUAUAUAUAAACAACAAAAAGACAUUAGUAUUAAUAUAAACCUUAAACUGAAAAGUGAUUAAAAUGUUAAUCAACAGAUAAAUGUUUAAGUGUAAUUACAAAAUGCUCAUUACAAAAAACAGGAUGGUAAACUAUACAUAUUAUGUGACCCUAGUUUUAUAAGAAAAAUAUAUUUAUAAUGACAAUGAAAGGAAGCACACAUUUUUUAUUUUAUUUUUUAAUAACUUACGUAAUUUUUUCAAAUGUUCCAUCAUGAAUAUAUAUUCUUAAAUUUAGAGGAAAAAUAAUAAGAUUAAGAGAUAUCUGUUCUCUGAUGGUUCUAGAGCUGGGAAGGGUUGCAGUGGAAGAAAGGUUGGUUAAUGGGUAUAAAAUAGAUGGAAGGAAAAAGUGCUAGGGUUGUAUAGCACAGUAGCAUGACUAUAGUUAACAAUAAUCCCACUGGGCCUUGUGUUUAAGAGCAGGGUCUCUGAAGCCAUCCUUGUUGAAGACAGUUUUGCCCAAGGGGAUAUCACAGAGUAUUUGUGGGCAUGAAAUGAUUGUAUUUAUAAAUUUGCGCAACAGACUUGAUCUUUGACCUUUUGGUGAUCUUCUUGCCUAUGGCACCUGUCACUUUGUAGGGACAGUGGUCAAUUCCAGACACCAGAGAUACGGUUGUAGGGGUGAUCUGAAGUGCCGUCAUCGAUGUUCUACAUGAUGAUGUGUUGGCUUUGAGUCCAGAGUAGCAUCAGGCCAGGACCAGCACCACUCUCCCAGGUUUCACAAACUUGCCCAUUUCGACAACAACCAAGUAGGCCUACAUCAGAAAGGAAGAAGGGGCACUUCUGCUAACUGUAUAUUUCAAAAAAGUUAGAAGAUUUGAGAUGUUCCCAAAACAAAUUAUAAAUGUUUGAGGUAAUAGAUAUCCUAAUUACCCUGAUUUGAUCAUUGCACAUUGUAUGCAUGUAUAAAACUAUCAUAUGUACUCCAUACAUUUGUAUAAUUAUCAAUAAACAAAUUUAAGAUAUCUAUUGCAUAUGAAAGAAAUAAAAAGAAAUGAAUGCAAACUUAAGUAUUCAUAAGAGGAUAAAAAUAUGAGUUUAAAGUGAUAAGAUAGCAAAAAUGGUAAGACAAUAAUGUAUGCUAAGAUUAAUCAAUAUAAGCCAAUUAAAACCAGAAGGUAAAAGAUUGAAUAAUAAAGUGAUACAAUGUUUAAAUAAUAUAAUAAAAUAAUCUAAUAUUAAUGAAUUUUAAAAACAAAAUCACACUAAACUGAAAGAAGUAAAUAAGGUAGAUACCCAGAUUAAAUCUUCACGUUAACAUUCUGUAAGAAUGAGAAUAAAAAGAGUUUUCUGAGCUGAGGAAGUUUCAUAGCUUUAGUGACUGUCUGAAGAUUGCUGAGA